rnacentral:rRNA from 1 species
AGAAUCAACGCUGGCGGCGUGCCUAACACAUGCAAGUCGAACGCGGUUACCUCGCAAGGGGUAACUGAGUGGCGAACGGGUGAGUAACACGUGGGUGACCUACCUUCGAGUGGGGGAUAACGUCCCGAAAGGGACGCUAAUACCGCAUAACAUCCUGUCCUUGAACGGAUGGAGAUCAAAGCUGGGGAUCGCAAGACCUGGCGUUUGAAGAGGGGCCCGCGUCUGAUUAGCUAGUUGGUGGGGUAACGGCUCACCAAGGCGACGAUCAGUAUCCGG